UUGACUAAAAGACAGAACAGUUUCAUUUUAGACUUGCUCCAUUAUCUCAUACGGUUGAAAAAAUGAUCUGCAUACUUAUUUUCUUCUGUUUAUGGCAUCUGGUUGGUUCAGUAACAGACAGAAUGAAGAUGUCCGUAAUGGAGGGAGAUGCUGUUACUCUUCACACUGAUGUUACUGAAAUACCCAGACAAACUAUAAAUUACAUACAGUGGAGGUUUGGACCUGACAAAAAAACAUUUAUAGUCAUUCAGUUUAAUAAGGGGGCACCUGUUAUUAAUUAUUUUAAUGCAGAGAUAUUCAGAAACAGACUACAGAUCGACAAUCAGACUGGAUCUCUGACCAUCAGGAAUAUCAGAACAACAGACUCUGGACUUUAUCAAAUGAUAAAAUACAAACCUUUCUACUUCAAUGUUAUGGUCUAUGCUCGUCUGCCCAUUCCUGACAUUACUUGGGACUCAGGAUCAUCAGUGUCUAAUUGUUCACUGCUGUGUUCAGUGGUGAAUGUGAGUGCUGUGACUCUCUCCUGGUACAAAGGAAACAGUUUAU